GAAAUGCGAUAAGUAAUGUGAAUUGCAGAAUUCAGUGAAUCAUCGAAUCUUUGAACGCACCUUGCACCUUUUGGUAUUCCGAAAGGUAUGCCUGUUUGAGUGUCAUGAAUUCUCACUCCUCCCGGGUUUUACGACCCGUGGUUGGAUGUGGACUUGGGCGUCUUGUCUUGUAUUAGACUCGCCUCAAAUGGAUUAGUGGAAAGAUCACUAACAGUCAAGACGUAAUAAGUUUCGUCUAGGCUCGGUGUUGACGUCUGCUCAUAACCCCCAUUAUUCUGACUCUGACCUCAAAUCAGGUAGGGCUACCCGCUGAACUUAA
rnacentral:misc_RNA from 2 species